UGGUUCUGACUCAGCCUUACCAUUAAGCCA
rnacentral:piRNA from 1 species